rnacentral:rRNA from 1 species
CGGACGGGUGAGUAACACGUGGAUAACCUACCUAUAAGACUGGGAUAACUUCGGGAAACCGGAGCUAAUACCGGAUAAUAUAUUGAACCGCAUGGUUCAAUAGUGAAAGACGGUUUUGCUGUCACCUAUAGAUGGAUCCGCGCCGCAUUAGCUAGUUGGUAAGGUAACGGCUUACCAAGGCAACGAUGCGUAGCCGACCUGAGAGGGUGAUCGGCCACACUGGAACUGAGACACGGUCCAGACUCCUACGGGAGGCAGCAGCC